rnacentral:rRNA from 1 species
GGAAUAUUGCACAAUGGGGGAAACCCUGAUGCAGCGACGCCGCGUGAGUGAUGAAGUAUUUCGGUACGUAAAACUCUAUCAGCAGGGAAGAAAAUGACGGUACCUGACUAAGAAGCACCGGCUAAAUACGUGCCAGCAGCCGCGGUAAUACGUAUGGUGCAAGCGUUAUCCGGAUUUACUGGGUGUAAAGGGUGCGUAGGUGGCAUGGCAAGUCAGAUGUGAAAUGCCGGGGCUCAACCCCGGAACUGCAUUUGAAACUGUCAAGCUAGAGUACAGGAGAGGAAAGCGGAAUUCCUAGUGUAGCGGUGAAAUGCGUAGAUAUUAGGAGGAACACCAGUGGCGAAGGCGGCUUUCUGGACUGACACUGACACUGAGGCACGAAAGCGUGGGGAGCAAACA